CCACAUUUGAUCAAACCAAUUUCUUUCAUCAUUCAUAUAUCAAAGCAGUUUGAUUUCUCAAACCAAAUCAAAACAUUUUGCUUUAGCAUGGUUCAACAUUGAACAGCACCUGUGGUUCCUCAUGGGGGUUAUCAUUUGGGUGCCUUCUGCCCCCUUCUGUGUGCUGAGAUUCCAGGUUGGACUAUAUCUCCCAUGAUGCCCAGCAGUGGCUCAGCCAAUAGGGAAACCAAGGUGCAUUAUAGGAGACUUAGUCUGGGGGAACCCAACCCAUAGCAGAGAAUGGAGGUAUGAGGCCCAACCUAUAACUCCCAUGAGGCACCUUGGUAACUCAGCUGGCUACAGAGAAAUGUCAAACAAAUGACCCGAAACAAAAUCAUCGCUCAGUGGAAAAUAGAAACUUUUCAAAGAAAUCAAAAUUAAACAUAGGAAAAAUUCAACUUUAUGGGAAACUCAUUUUCUAUCACAGAAAUAUUGAUGAAAAAUCUUCAGCGAGCUGUACGAAAUACACUAGACUAGUCUGAGCACGAUGUCCCUGCGUGUGCUGACCAACCCAUAACUCACGGAGCGGACGGGUGCUGCCUCUGAGUUUGGGAUGUCCUUUCUUGGUGUAGAAUUCCCAGCCUGGACCACCUGCCCAGCGCCCUGUGGAGCAGCCCAGAGAAUCCAGUGUAGGUUAUAGAGAUCCCAGAGUUGGAGAUGUGUAACGUGUAUUUGUUUUUACAUUUUUAACAAAGGGUUUCCUGCUGCGCUAUAGAGGACCCUUUAUCCACUGGAUCGGCCUCCGGAGGGAACGGGACCAACCCUGGAUGUGGGCCAGUGGCACUGAAUUCAACAACUGGCUUAUGAUAUUGGGAGGAGGCCUAUGUGCUUAUGUGGACAAUGGCGAAAUUGCCAGUUCAGACUGCUCCAGGGCGGGACACUGGAUCUGCAGCAAACCAGCGGAGAAACCAGAAGGCAGAGCAAAGUGACAGUGACCUGGAUGAGGCGGGGCCUUGUCUUUUUAACGGGGCUGUCCCAAGCUGCCUCAGUGACUGGGGAACUGGAUGGGGCUGGCGAAGGGGGACAGCCCCAGCAGCAAGGAAGAGAGACGCUUGCUGAAGGACAUCUGAUGUCUCCUCCCCUUGGAGCCUCUGGCACCCAUUGGGCCAUUUGGGGACUGGGGUGAGGGUGCUGAUUAGCCAGCAUCCCCCAGCUCGCUCUCUGUCACAGAGAAGGGAUCUUCUGACUUGGAAAUGAGAAGGGGAGCAGCCCAGCCUGCUGUGUCCCUCCUGUCGGGGGCCCAGGGCAGGAGCCUGGCCCGAGCUGUGGCUAGAGGCUAAUGGACCAGCUGGGGCCAUCGGGAGGUGCUGUGGCCCCUGCAGCCAUGCGGUGAAGGGGCCGGUGUGAACCCUGCAGCCUGGACGCAUGAACUCUGCUGUACAGCGAGACGGGCUGUUGUGGAGGCCCUGCUGAGUGCUGGGGGAGUGUGAAGAGACGCCGCAGACAGGAGGGGAUGGCUGGAACGUGCUAGCAUAGACGUGUGUGUGUGUGUAUAUACAUGUGUGUACAUAAAUAUUUGUAUAAUAAUACACCAGCUCCCAGAAGGGAAACUUUUA